UGGCGGACGGGUGAGUAACGCGUGGAUAACCUGCCGUAUACCGGGGGAUAACACUUAGAAAUAGGUGCUAAUACCGCAUAAGCGCACGGCUCCGCAUGGGGCAGUGUGAAAAACUCCGGUGGUAUACGAUGGAUCCGCGUCUGAUUAGCUAGUUGGCGGGGUAACGGCCCACCAAGGCAGCGAUCAGUAGCCGGCCUGAGAGGGUGGACGGCCACAUUGGGACUGAGACACGGCCCAGACUCCUACGGAAGGCAGCAG
rnacentral:rRNA from 1 species